AAGGAUAAACGGAAAGUAGCAGGGGCAUUAGAUUGCCAGUUCAAGCAGUUCAAAGUUUUGUUUAGUUUUGAGUGUGAUACCGACAUAGGGAUCAUGGUCAAAGAUGACACCUAUGGGGAAUUAGCUCAGCUGGGAGAGCACCUGCUUUGCAAGCAGGGGGUCAGCGGUUCGAACCCGCUAUUCUCCAUAGGCAGUGGUAGCACUGCCAGGGUUGCACAUUGAAAACUGAAUAGUAACAAAUUCUUUUAAAGAUAAGUAAAAUUAUUAAUAAAUUAAGCCGAGAAACAAAGCAAUAAAGAAGUUCUGUAAGAGGAACGGAAAAAAACGCAGGUCUGAAAGAAGACCAACUCAUAAACUUAAAGCACAACUACGGUUGUGAC
rnacentral:tRNA from 1 species